AUUGAACGCUGGCGGCAUGCCUUACACAUGCAAGUCGAACGGUAACAGGUCAAGCUGACGAGUGGCGUACGGGUGAGUAAUAUAUCGGAACGUGCCCAGUCGUGGGGGAUAACGUAGCGAAAGCUGCGCUAAUACCGCAUACGAUCUGAGGAUGAAAGCGGGGGACUCGCAAGGGCCUCGCGCGAUGGGAGCGGCCGAUAUCAGAUUAGGUAGGUGGGGGGGUAACAGCCCACCAAGCCGACCAUCUGUAGCUGGGCUGAGAGGACGCCCAGCGACACUGGGGCAGGGAACCGGACCAGACUCCUACGGGAGGCGGCAGUGGGGAAUUUUGGACAAUGGGGGCAAGCCUGAUCCAGCCAGGCCGCGUGCAGGACGAAGGCCUUCGGGUUGUAAAAUGCUUUUGUACGGAACGAAACGGCUCUCUCUAAGACGGGGGGCUAAUGACGGUACCGUAAGAAUAAGCACCGGCUAACUACGUGCCAGCCGCCGCGGUAAAAC
rnacentral:rRNA from 1 species